CUCCGUUGGUGAACCAGCGGAGGGAUCAUUA
rnacentral:rRNA from 24 species